GCUGGGCAUGGUGGUGUGUGCCUAUAAUCCCAUCUACUCUGGAGGCUGAGGCAGAAGAAUUGCUUGAACCCAGGAGGCAGAGGUUACAGUGAGCAGAGAUUGCACCACUGUACUCCAGCCUGGGUGACACAGCAAGACUCUGCCUCAA
rnacentral:SRP_RNA from 1 species